AACGAACGCUGGCGGCAUGCCUAACACAUGCAAGUCGAACGAGACCUUCGGGUCUAGUGGCGCACGGGUGCGUAACGCGUGGGAACCUGCCCUUAGGUUCGGAAUAACUCCCCGAAAGGGGUGCUAAUACCGGAUAAUGUCUUCGGACCAAAGAUUUAUCGCCUUUGGAUGGGCCCGCGUUGGAUUAGCUGGUUGGUAGGGUAAAAGCCUACCAAGGCGACGAUCCAUAGCUGGUCUGAGAGGAUGAUCAGCCACACUGGGACUGAGACACGGCCCAGACUCCUACGGGAGGCAGCAGUGGGGAAUAUUGGACAAUGGGCGAAAGCCUGAUCCAGCAAUGCCGCGUGAGUGAUGAAGGCCUUAGGGUUGUAAAGCUCUUUUACCCGGGAUGAUAAUGACAGUACCGGGAGAAUAAGCUCCGGCUAACUCCGU
rnacentral:rRNA from 1 species